UUCAUUCAAACACUUUUUGCAUUCAACCAAUUUUUGUUCAACUCCCCUACGAAUAGCGAACCUAUACAACCUAUAUAAUGUAUAGGUUCGCUACUACCUACGAACGAGCGAAGGCAGGUAGCUCAUUUCAGUUUAAGAAGCCUUUUUCAUUCGCAUUCGUCCGGUUGACUCGCCUUGAAUUUCACUCUAUUUUAGUAAUAGUCCGUAGUGUUUUAGCAUUUAGUGAAAAGUCAUACCAUUUGCAAAACCAAUCAACGGCCUACUGUAAAAGUUAUAGCAAAUAACUGCCUUUAUAUUUUGGCUAAAAAACACCGAUCAAAAUGUGUAAGUGCCUCGCGGGAAGUGUUGUCUGCUGUUGCUGCCAGUGCGCGAUGAGCGUUUUCAUCUCGCUACUGUUCGUGGGUGUUUUACUGGCGGCGGCAAUCGCAGCUGGAAUCUAUUUCGGAGUGUUGAAUGUCGACGACAAGGCUCCCGAGCUGUCGGAGUUCGUGCACAAAACCGGUGACUCAAUCAAGGACGCCGUUAAGGAUAAGCUCAACUAGAUGAGAAGCGUAAACCUCAGCGCGCUGUGCCACAACAGGAGACAUUUUGAAUCUCUACCAGCUUAUAAGUGUUUUUAGAUCUGACUUUGUAUACUUUUACAUUACUGUACCAAGCUACGAUGUCUUGCAUUUUUAAGUAUUUUUAACUACAGAUAAGAACAAUAUGUUGUUAGCUGGCAAAUUCCAACAUGAACACAACAAACAUCGCCUAAUGCAAACCAGUGCUUUAUGGUUCCAAUCUAUGUUGACAUAGUACAACUGACCAAUGAAAAUAAGAAACCAAAAUAACCUAACGAAAAGCUACAACUAACAAUAACAGCUAAAGCAACAAAAAAUGUCGAUCUUAUUUCUAACCGUUUGUGUAAAUAUACUUAUUUAUAUCGCUUGAUA